AGCAGCCGCGGUAAUUCCAGCUCCAAUAGCGUAUAUUAAAGUUGUUGCAGUUAAAAAGCUCGUAGUUGAAUUUCGGGAUUCUACCGUUGGUCGGGCUAUCCAGUCUGUACUAGUGUGUAGAAUUUCUACCUUCUGGGGAACCACCAUGUUAUUAAUUUAGCGUGAUGGGAAACCAGGACCUUUACCUUGAAAAAAUUAGAGUGUUCAAAGCAGGCUUACGUCUGAAUACAUUAGCAUGGAAUAAUAAAAUAGGACGGUGGUCCUGUUUUGUUGGUUUCUGAAUCACCGUAAUGAUUAAUAGGGAUAGUUGGGGGCAUUAGUAUUCAAUUGUCAGAGGUGAAAUUCUUGGAUUUAUUGAAGACUAACUUCUGCGAAAGCAUUUGCCAAGGAUGUUUUCAUUAAUCAAGAACGAAAGUUAGGGAAUCGAAGACGAUCAGAUACCGUCGUAGUCUUAACCAUAAACUAUGCCGACUAGGGAUCGGAACGAUGUUAAAUAUUAUUGACUUGUCGCGCCUUACGG
rnacentral:rRNA from 1 species